rnacentral:rRNA from 1 species
UACAGAGGCCACGAGCGUUAGGCGGAAUCACUGGGCUUAAAGCGUGUGUAGGUGGAUCGGUAAGUACCUUGUGAAAUCCCACGACUCAAUCGUGGAACUGCUUGGUAUACUGCCAGUCUUGAGGUACUCAGGGGCAAGCGGAACAGAUGGUGGAGCGGUGAAAUGCGUAGAUAUCAAUCGUGGAACGCCAAUGGUGAAGACAGCUUGCUGGGGGUAUUCUGACACUGAGACACGAAAGCCAGGGGAGCAAACGGG